GAGAAGCGAGGAGGAAGAGGAGGGCGCCUCACCUCGCGUCUUGGCCCAUGCUCUCCAUCUUCACUUCCACUCCCUUCCUACAAAUGCAUCGCGUUCACCAUGCGCCCGGAUAAUAGCCUUCGAAUUUUACCUUUGACCUUCAAUGAAAAGAAAUAUUGACAUGGGAGCGGACUCCAGGGUAUUUCAUUUCCCUGUUGUGGUGGGAACACGGCCGUUAUUGGACGUUCCAGUCUCUGCAUGCACUUUUUGAAGCACUGUAUUACUUUUUGGAUGAUAAUGUAUUUAAAAUUCUGGAGAUUUGCCAUUGCUAGUGUAAUAAAUGUUAAUUUGGUUAAUAUGGCCAAAUGCAGUUGGAAAGUCAAUCCCAGUCUUUACAAUCAAAAUUUGUAAUUAUUAGGUUUACUGACCUGCCAUGAUCCCGAAAUACAAUAAUUUUGUACUUUGACCAAGAGCUGACUCUCCUGGAGUAAUUUCAGUCAUGAAUGAUACACAACCCAACUGAAGUAUCCCGGUAGUAGAAUAGAUUGUUAUAAAGGCAGUAAUAUCAAGAUACCUCUGGUUCAGAAUAUUUGAUAACUUCGGCUUAAAUGUUGUGAGGGUUGUUCAUUUUACAAGGGAAAAGUACACAUAUUCACCACUCAAACAAAAAUAUAUUUGGGGAAUUGAGGCCCAUCAACUGUUGGUUAUUUUAAUUGCGAGUGAGGGAAAUGGACCUUUGAUCGGGAGAGGUUUGAAGGAAUUGGCGAUUCAUGUCUUAUCAGAGUAACUAAACCAUGCACUUAACUGACUGUAGGCGCUAAUAAUUAGUGAUUGAAAGUUUCUGUAUUUAGCGUGCUUUAUGUUUCUUGGGGGUUUUGUUACAGGUUACAUUAUUAGGUUUGCGAGAACAGUAGUUAACUAAACUUCCCAGUUAGUGGUCUUCGCACCAGGAAAGUGCUAUUUGGUACAGCAGCCAUGCCUCGUCACUCAUUAACUCCCUGUAGGUUGUCAGCGGCUGCUCAGCACAAAAAAACAGCACCAAGCUAAAUUAAGAGCCCGAUGAUUAAGAUGAACGUUUACCGGUGCUGUCAUUUGCAGCAUCUUUCCAUCAUAACAUUGUGUCACUGGGAAAUACUCUUGAAAACUACAGGGGAAUACACACACACACACACACACACACACACACACACACACACACACACACACACACACACACACACACACACACACACACACACACACA